rnacentral:rRNA from 1 species
AAUAUCAAAGGUGAGCCAGUACAGGAUGGACCCGCGUCUGAUUAGCUAGUUGGUAAGGUAACGGCUUACCAAGGCGACGAUCAGUAGCCGACCUGAGAGGGUGAUCGGCCACCUUGGAACUGAGACACGGUCCAAACUCCUACGGGAGGCAGCAGUGGGGAAUAUUGCACAAUGGGCGAAAGCCUGAUGCAGCAACGCCGCGGGAGUGAUGAAGGCCUUCGGGUCGUAAAACUCUGUCCUCAAGGAAGAUAAUGACGGUACUUGAGGAGGAAGCCCCGGCUAACUACGUGCCAGCAGCCGCGGUAAUACGUAGGGGGCUAGCGUUAUCCG